UAGUGCAAGUGCAUCUGCAUUUCUGCCCGCAACAGAAUAUAAAUCCUUGACAGAGCCAACCUGUGCUUCAGCCACACCAACGAAUUCCUUUAAGGUCUUGCGAAAAAUUUCAGACACAGGGCCAUCAGUCUCCGAAGCCUCCAGUUCUUUUUUAACUUUUUCCAAACCCUUGAUGAUUGCUUGCAUUUCUUCAGCCAAAGA
rnacentral:misc_RNA from 1 species